UGCAAGUCGAGCGCCCGUAGCAAUACGGGAGCGGCAGACGGGAGAGUAACACGUGGGAACGUACCUUUCGGUUCGGAAUAACCCAGGGAAACUUGGGCUAAUACCGGAUACGUCCGUAAGGAGAAAGAUUUAUCGCCGAAAGAUCGGCCCGCGUCCGAUUAGCUUGUUGGUGAGGUAACGGCUCACCAAGGCGACGAUCGGUAGCUGGUCUGAGAGGAUGAUCAGCCUCACUGGGACUGAGACACGGCCCAGACUCCUACGGGAGGCAGCAGUGGGGAAUAUUGGACAAUGGGCGCAAGCCUGAUCCAGCCAUGCCGCGUGGGUGAUGACGGCCUUAGGGUUGUAAAGCCCUUUCGGCGGGGAAGAUAAUGACGGUACCCGCAGAAGAAGCCCCGGCAAACUUCGUGCCAGCAGCCGCGGUAAUACGAAGGGGGCUAGCGUUGCUCGGAAUCACUGGGCGUA
rnacentral:rRNA from 1 species